AGACAUCUUUUCCAUCUUCACUCUACUCACCCAGAAUGACCCGUGGUGAAACAGAGGCAUUCGAUGGAUUUUGUAUGAUAAGCAGUCUUGCAGAGGCUGA